rnacentral:tRNA from 1 species
GCCGAAGUGGUGAAAUUGGUAGACACGCCAUCUUGAGGGGGUGGUGAGCUUUCGCUCGUGGAGGUUCGAGUCCUCUCUUCGGCACCA